GCGGGGCGGAGCCCACAGUCCGACCUCCUGCCACUUACUCAGGGGUUGGACUCCUGGGCAGUGACCUCCGGCUACUCUCCUGCUGGUGUGCUUGUACUUCCCUCCGCCGAGUUUUGAGCCCCAAUCUUCCAACCUGUAAGCCCGGGGUUAGCUAUACAUUCUUCGGUCCGUACAUCUAUCCAUUCCUCCCUUUCACCCACCCCUUCACCCAUCCAUCCUUAUGGCGCAUUUGCUUCCCCUGGUUCACCAAAAGUGCUCUCCAGAAAAGCGCUCCAGUCCCAGAGCCGGUUUCAGUCAGGGCAUUGCCAAAGUCAAGUCCAUGCCCUCGGGACCUGGAAGGAGCUUCGGGUCACGGGUGGUGAGAGUGCAAAGUCCAGGGAAAGUGGGGGCCAUUUUAGCAGCAGGACCAGGAUCCUAGUGUGGUUUUUGAACUCAUGAGGACACCUAUAACUUUCUUACUCCAAGGUCCUCGGUCGUUCUUACUGAACCUCUCUUUCUCUGUGUUCUAAGUCACACAACCACUACCUUGUCUAUUCUAGCUCCACCCCCGACCGCCCCCUUCCCCCAAGCUUCUCCUUCCUAGUUCAUCACCACGUACCCGCCUAAGCUCCUCUUAUUCCCCUCUAGUCCCUCCGCACCCCCAUCCAGUGGUCUCACAUAUCCCUGUCCCUCAAGCCCACGCUCACAUCCCUUCCCCGCGAGUCCCCUUAGUGUCCCCCACCCCCACUCAGCUCCUCCCCCUUCCAUCCUUGGUUCCUGCAGGCCAAGGCUGCCGUCUGGCCCCGGUAACUUGAUGCCCGUGACAGUUGGCAGCUGCAGCCGCUUCGGCAGAGAAAAGCGGCAGCCCGGCCAGGAGCGACAGGUGUUGGCCGCGCCUUUGUCUCGCUGGCUUUGUCCCGCAGGCUGCAACAGGCACGCCUGUGUCCGCCAGACGCCCAAGCCCCGCGUCGUCGGCGGUCCAUCUGCCGGCCCUGCCUUGCCGCGGGAGGGCUGUGUGUGUGUGUGUGUGUGUGUGUGUGUGUGUGUGUGUGUGUGUGUGUGUGUGUGUGUGUUCGUGCGCACGCUCCCCCCCCCCUCCCGGCAGUGCCCUUGGAACCUUGGAACCCCUGGCCCUGCUCCAGCUUUCUUGGAUUUCUGCUGCUGCCUUAGAGCCAGCCUUUACAGACUUCAUCCUUAGGCCUGGACACCGAUAAGCACCAUUUCAGUGGCUGCCUGGGCACCAUUCAAGUCUUGGUAACUGGUGCUGCUGGUGCUUCAGUCAGCCUGGCUGGAAGACCUUUGAGGGAGAGAAAGGACAGGCAAAGACUGUUGGGCAGGGAAACCCCUUACCCUCCUAAAGAUGGGUCUGGCAGACUCCCUGUGGCUCCACUACAGAGGAACCUCCAAAGGCUUCAGUUCAGAAACUGGGCCUGCACUAUACGGAACAGACACUAAGGCAGACAACUCCCACCAGGUGGCGCCAGAGAACAGCAGAGACUUGGACUUGGGCCCUAGCUGGCCACAUCCCACCUCUGAAUUUUAAGUACCCAAAUAACCUUUCCUGGGACUUUUUUGGCAGCUGUGGCAACUGGAAAUACGAAGCAAAUCUCAGGGGAACUGGGCCGGACGAGAAGGCGACUGAGCCACGGGCUCCGGCCACUGCCUGGCUAUCACUGCUCGUGCUUUCUAACUCAGGAGUGGCACUGCUGAACUUGCUUUCUCAGGGACAGGAACAGAGAGGGACGUACGGAUCUCCUCCAGUGAGACUCCUCUUGACCAUUGCUGUCGCUGGAUGAUGUCUGGCUCAUGAGGUGUUCGUGGGAUCCGUUACUGCCCAGGCUCCCAUAGCCACUGGAGCCGCUGUGGGGGACAGGCUGGGGGAAAAGCAAACAGAUCACGGUAGACAGGGGUAGAAGAGGUCACCACAAGUCAAGCUCAAACAGUGGUCUCAGCCAGCCCACAGUUACUCAGAGAAGACAAGUGCAGGGGAGCUUGAACCCCAAGGUGUCUGGCCUUCAUUCUUGGUGUCCUAAUAAUCUCUGGUGUGUAGUCACCAAGAAGAUUCCAUUAAAAGGCACAUGUUUAGGUGAUGCAGGCAGGCCCAUGCCUGGAAUCCCAGCACUUGGGAGGCAGAGAGGUGGGUGGACCUCUGUGAGUUUGAGGCCAAUCAGGUAUAGAGAGGGAGUUCAAGGCCAGCCAAGAGCACACGGAAAGACCCAUCUCAACAUCCCCUUACCCCCCAAAAGAAAACAAAGGGCGAAGAUAAAAAGGAACAUGUUUGUGAGGGUUUGAAUAUGCUUGGCCUAUGGGAGUGGCACCAUUAGGAGGUGUGGCCCUGUUGGAUCAAGUGUGUCACUACGUAGGUGGGCUUUGAGGGCUCCUAAUGCUCAGGCUCCAUCCAGUAUGGAAGAGAACCUCCUCCUGGCUGCCUUCCAAUCAAGAUGGAGAACUUGUAACUCCUCCAGCACCAUGUCUGCCUGGAUGCUGCCAUGUUCCCACCAUGAUGAUAAUGGACUGAGCCUCUGAAACUGUAAGCCAACCCCAAUUAAAUGUUUGCCUCA